CCCUUAGACGUUCUGGGCCGCACGCGCGCUACACUGACCAGUGCAACAAGCAUCCGUCCUUGGCCGACAGGCUCGGGCAAUCUUUGAACGCUGGUCGUGAUGGGGAUAGACUUUUGCAAUUUUUGGUCUUCAACGAGGAAUUCCUAGUAAACGCAAGUCAUCAACUUGCAUUGAUUACGUCCCUGCCCUUUGUACACACCGCCCGUGGCACCUACCGAUUGAAUGGUCCGGUGAAGCCUCCGGAUUGGCGCGCACCUCGGUGCCGCCGAGAAGUUGGCUAAACCUUACCAUUUAGAGGAAGGUGAAGUCGUAACA
rnacentral:rRNA from 1 species